UCUCUUUCUCCUGCCCCCCCCCAGCCGUCGGACUACAGCAGCUUCCUGGGUUCUGGUUCUCGGGCCUCCUCCAGGGCCAGCUCAGCUCGUGCCAGCCCCGUGGUGAGCCUCCUUUCUGGGUUUGGCUCCAGGACCGCAUCCACGCUGUCAGCCGCCACUCUGGCCUCUCUGGCCGGGGCUUCAUCCCGCAGAGGAAGCUGCGACACGUCCGUUUCCCUGGAGACGGAGGCGUCACUCAGAGAGAUGAAGGACUCGCUGGUGGAGGCAGAGGAGCGGUACCGGCGAGCGAUGGUGUCCAACGCUCAGCUGCACAACGACAAGACCAUGCUGAUGUACCAGGUGGAGACGCUGCGGGAGGAGCUCAGCGACACCGAGGAGCUGCUGUGGGAGGCCCGACGGCACCGCGACGACACCAGCAAGGAGCUGGAAAGAGAGCGGCACUCUCACAGCGUUCUGAAGCUCCAGUUCAGGGACCUGGAGGACAUGCUGAGGCAGACCGAGGACCUGCUGACGUCACCGACUCUCACAAACGGGGAAGCAGAUGAAUGUUUUCACUGGUUCUGCUGCGUUUCAGAACGCCACCUGAAGAAACUGUUUGAGGAAAGAGAACGUCUACGAGACCAGGUAAGGCUGCUGCAGUCCCAGCUAGACCAGAGGAACGCCGCGGUCCAGGAGGAGCGGUCUCUGGAGAACGGGCUGGAUUCCCACGUCCUGGAACUGCAGCGAGAGGCCAAUCGCCAAAUCAGUGAGCUGAAGUUCAAACUAGUGAAGGCGGAGCAGGAGGUCACGGCUCUAGAACAGAACGUGAUCCGCCUGGAUGGUCAGGUGACCCGAUAUAAGACGGCAUCUGAGGCUGCAGAGAAGAUAGAAGACAGUCUGAAGGUGGAAAAGAGGAAACUGCAGAGGGAGCUCCGCUCGGCUCUGGACCGCAUAGGUGAGCUGGAGGCCGCCAACAAACACCUGAGCAAGCGCCUGGAGAAAAUGAAGGCCAGUCGGACGGCUCUGCUGGCCCAGCAGUGACCCCGCAGUGGUCCGUGAGCCCCCGCCAGCAACGGAGCCGACCAACCGGCGGAUCCACGGUAGAGGACGGCUUUACCUGCAUCAGCAUCUGUGCCGGAACAAAGACUUUCAGAUGGGCUUCAUCCAGGACUUGAUGGACCACGAAGCAGCUGGAUCCUGGACCCAGGAAUCCUGGACCCAGGAUCCAGCUGCUCAUCCUCCUCAACCAGAACUCUGGAUCUCUGCUGUGCUUCACGUGUGCUUUGGUUUCCUCUCAGGAACAGCGACCUUCAGUCUGUGCUGCAGGAGAAAGCUGCUGGAACACCCUGACCUGGAUUGUAUGCAUGUGCGUGUGCACGUGUGUUUUGGGGGUUCGUUUGGAUCUGUGUCAAAAACCAAAACCUUUUGGUGUUCAAGGUUUUUGAUAAAUUAUUGUUACUCAACGGACUCAGCUGAAGUCAUGUGACUUCUUCACCUGAACACUGACGGUCGAACAGGAUGGUUUAGGUCUGACAGAACAUCACCCUUCUGUGAUCCGCUGCCCCCUACAGGCCAGACCGUCCUUCACUCUGGUCCAGGAACGAACACAUUCAGGCUGGAGCCGCUCCCCCCCCCCUCACACACACACACACUCUCCGCUCAAACGGGUCACAAGGUGACAGAACAAAACCAGAACCUGUGUCGUGAACUGGACCCUUUUCAUCAUCUGAGAUGUCAUUGAUUGUAGAUCAGAUAUAUAGUUAUCAGAGGUCAGCGGAUCCAAAACCAAACCCGGGACAGGUGAGACUGCUGCCCCGCCUACUAUAGCCAAGUGGGCGGGGCAGCAGUCUCACCACAGAACAAGGACAGACCUAUAGUAAAGAACUUUCUCAGAACUGUGUUUAGUUUCCAGCAAGCUGAUCAAUCUCAUUGAUUGGAACUCCAAGGAUCCACCCCGAUGUCAGUUCUUGAUGAUCAGAAGAUGUUCUGCUCCAGGAACCAUGGAGAAUCCAUGAAGGUUCCUGCUGGUUUUCUUUGGAACCUACAAUAAAAAACGCAUGUGUCUCUGAGGAACA
rnacentral:lncRNA from 1 species